rnacentral:rRNA from 1 species
CCUACGGGAGGCAGCAGUGAGGAAUAUUGGUCAAUGGGAGAGAUCCUGAACCAGCCAAGCCGCGUGAGGGAAGACGGCCCUAUGGGUUGUAAACCUCUUUUGUCGGAGAACAAAACCCGGGACGUGUCCCGGACUGCGUGUAUCCGAAGAAAAAGCAUCGGCAAACUCCGUGCCAGCCGCCGCGGUAAUACGGGGGAUGCGAGCGUUAUCCGGAUUUAUUGGGUUUAAGGGGUGGGUAGGCGGUCCGUUAAGUCAGCGGGAAAAUUGCGGGGCUCAACCCCGUCGUGCCGUUGAAACUGGCAGACUUGAGUUGGCGAGAGGUACGCGGAAUGCGGGGUGUAGCGGUGAAAUGCAUAGAUAUCGCGCAGAACUCCGAUGGCGAAGGCAGCGUACCGGCGCCAGACUGACGCUGAGGCACGAAAGCGUGGGGAUCGAACAGGAUUAGAUACCCGGGUAGUC